rnacentral:tRNA from 2 species
ACGGAAGUCCUCCAAUGGUAGGAGAGCGGUCUCCAAAACCGUUAAUGUGGGUUCGAUUCCUGCCUUCCGUG